rnacentral:rRNA from 1 species
GGACCAUCUCCUAAGGCUAAAUACUCUCUAGUGACCGAUAGUGAACCAGUACCGUGAGGGAAAGGUGAAAAGCACCCCGGAAGGGGAGUGAAAUAGAACCUGAAACCGUGUGCUUACAAGUAGUCAGAGCCCGUUAAUGGGUGAUGGCGUGCCUUUUGUAGAAUGAACCGGCGAGUUACGAUUUGAUGCAAGGUUAAGCAGUAAAUGUGGAGCCGUAGCGAAAGCGAGUCUGAAUAGGGCGUUUAGUAUUUGGUCGUAGACCCGAAACCAGGUGAUCUACCCUUGGUCAGGUUGAAGUUCAGGUAACACUGAAUGGAGGACCGAACCGACUUACGUUGAAAAGUGAGCGGAUGAACUGAGGGUAGCGGAGAAAUUCCAAUCGAACCUGGAGAUAGCUGGUUCUCUCCGAAAUAGCUUUAGGGCUAGCCUCAAGUGAUGAUUAUUGGAGGUAGAGCACUGUUUGGACGAGGGGCCCCUCUCGGGUUACCGAAUUCAGACAAACUCCGAAUGCCAAUUAAUUUAACUUGGGAGUC